GAACCGCGUUUCCCUCUGCAGAAUCAGCUGACUCACUGGAAGGUAGAAUUCUUGAUCUUGGCUCAGUUUUAUCCCAUAUUCUACCAGUCUCAGGCAUGUGGUUAUCCCUGUACUUAAGAUUCCCAAUCCCUCUCCCCUUAAAGCUUUUGGUUGGAUGAUAGAGCCAUACAUCAUAUGAAAAAAUUAGUGCAUGACUAACAACAGAGGUUCUGGGGUUUCUGGUGGAGACCACUGCUUUAUGAUGACUAACCAAAGCCCCCUUAGUUAUGUAUUUCCUGGAAACCCUCAUGACUUCCAUAACUUUUCUCUUUUAUUCUUUCAGAAUUAAGAGAAGCUCAGUUAUACUCAGUGGACGUGACUCUGGACCCAGACACGGCCUACCCCAGCCUGAUCCUCUCUGAUAAUCUGCGGCAAGUGCGGUACAGUUACCUCCAACAGGACCUGCCUGACAACCCCGAGAGGUUCAAUCUGUUUCCCUGUGUCUUGGGCUCUCCGUGCUUCAUCGCCGGGAGACAUUAUUGGGAGGUAGAGGUGGGAGAUA
rnacentral:sRNA from 1 species